AAGGAUCAUUAUCGAUUUUCCCAGCUUGUGCGGGGAGAAACGAAUAAAACCUCGGGCUUCUAUGCCUUGGGACCUUGGCCUGUCUGCCAUUGUCCACCAGGUCGGUCCUUGAGUGCUUGUGGCUAUUUGGCUGCUUGGGCUCGGCCGACCGCCCAGUCGGAGGUGCUGUGCGCCGUUGUCGAAUACCAUUCGAAAGGCGGUAAUUCAGCAUUUAAAGAGCCUCGCCUCUGGCUCGGGUUCUGUGCUCCCCCUUGUUGGGCUUGUGGAAAACGGUACAGACAACAAACCUUAACUGGCCUUAGAGCCGGAAACCCCAAAUACAACACUAUACAGUGGAUCAUUUGGCUCGGGGGUCGAUGAAGAACGGAGCUAACUCCGUGACGCAAUGUGAACUGCAGGACACAUGAACAUCGACAUUUUGAACGCAUAUUGCGGACAUGUGCUUGUUGCAUGUCCAUGUUUGGGUCAGGGUCGGUUGAACAUCCAUCAGAACGCUUGCUGUGUUCUGCAAUGGGCUGUCCUGCCUCCCCCACCGGGGGAAGCGGGUAGCCUCAAGUUGACUUGUGCAGUGCUCUGCCGAUUGACUCUUGGGUCGUAAAAAGCCUGGGUCGCCUGCAGAUAAGCCUUCACAGGGGAUCGGCUGUUAGCUGAGGCUUCAGUCGUGACAAACU
rnacentral:misc_RNA from 1 species